rnacentral:misc_RNA from 1 species
GAUGAAGAACGUAGCGAAAUGCGAUAAGUAAUGUGAAUUGCAGAAUUCAGUGAAUCAUCGAAUCUUUGACCGCACAUUGCGCCCGCCAGCACUCUGGCGGGCAUGCCUGUUCGAGCGUCAUUUCAACCAUCAAGCCCCCAGGGGCUUGUGCUGGGGCCCUGCGGCUGCCCGCAGGCCCUGAAAACCAGUGGCGGGCUCGCUAGUCACACCGAGCGCAGUAGCACAUCUCGCUCAGGGCGUGCGGCGGGCUCCUGCCGUGAAACCCCCCACUGUAACCCCAAAGGUUGACCUCGGAUCAGGUAGGAAUACCCGCUGAACUUAAGCAUAUCAAUAAGCGGAGGA